rnacentral:rRNA from 1 species
UACGGAGGGUGCAAGCGUUAUCCGGAUUCACUGGGUUUAAAGGGUGCGUAGGCGGAUAGGUAAGUCCGUGGUGAAAUCCUGCAGCUUAACUGCAGAACUGCCAUGGAUACUAUCUUUCUUGAAUACCGUGGAGGUCAGCGGAAUAUGUCAUGUAGCGGUGAAAUGCUUAGAUAUGGCAUAGAACACCAAUUGCGAAGGCAGCUGGCUACACGAAUAUUGACACUGAUGCACGAAAGCGUGGGGAUCAAACAGG